CUUGCUUUUUUAUUUUGUUUAGACAAAAUUGCCAUUUGUUGGAAAGAGAUAGAUAAGACCAAAAAGAUACCAGUUUCAUUUGUUUCUUUUAAAACACAAGUUACGUUCUCAAUUAUUUAUUAAUAAAUGUCUCCCUUCUAUUCUCUCCCCUUCAGUUACAUUCCUUUUUUACUUAACUCACCUUAAACACUUAAUUUGAGAUUCAUGUGGUUAGAAAACAGAGGAUGCUAACCACAUCCCACGACGUGUACCUCUCCAUUAUUCAACCAAUAUGAUGUUGAGUGUUUUGCCAACCAAACUCAUUAUCAAAUAUCCGUGGAUGUAUGACAACUACCAUAAUACUCACGUCAUGCUCACCAACCGGAACCCCUCUCCACUAAAGUAACAACCAAAUAACAUGUAACAACAUAACAUCCAUACCACACCACACCACCUCUGACCCCAAUUAUCGUACUACCUGACCACGAUGCCGCUAC
rnacentral:lncRNA from 1 species